CUGUUAAUCAUAUAUAACCUGUUUUAUGGCUUACCCACUGAAUCUAUCUUGUUCAGUUUAAGUUUUAUCUAUUGCGUAUACAGGUCUGACCACCACCCUUAAGGACAAUAUUUAAGAACUUAUCUUGCAUUAACCUAUCUGAAAAAGAAAGAAAAGAAAUUAUUAUAUAAAUAAGUUGGCACUUGUGGCAUUUGACAAACAUCAUCUACAGACAUGUCUCUAACUAAUGAUGUACAGUGUAGCAGAGCAAUGAAGAGCACAGGCUCUGGAACCAGACUGCUUGGACUCAGUCUCUGCAAAUAACCAUCUAACUUUGAACAAGUUAUUUUGGCUCUCUCUGUCUCAAUUUCCUCAACUGUCUAAAAAUAAAGAUCCUCUACCAUAA